rnacentral:lncRNA from 1 species
GGGGGGUCUCCCAGAGGGGGCUCAGAGAACAGGCCUUCUUUGAGAGGCUGGGGGAGUGGGGAGGGGCAGGGCCGGAAGGCGGGUCCCAGUACAAAGGGUUCUGUCUGCAAAGUCAGGCCUGCACCUGGCCUGCCCCCCCCAAGCAUCCUCCUGGAAGAGGGGCCCAGGCCUCGGACCAGGAGCUCUCAGCCCAGGGGAGCCACCUCCCGCGCUCUGGGGCUGGCUCAGAGGGCCCUGGCCGGCACAGGGUAGCAGGCCUGGGCACCCGCUCUCCUGCUGUGCAGAGCGCAGGGGCCAGAGCCCCAUGCAGCAGCUUCCUUCUGAGGCCAAGGGGUGCAGGGGUCCCAGGCCGGAUCCCCUGGAGGCCACAGCGGAGGCAGAGGCUGGCACACCUCCCCUCCCCAGAGAACUGCUGCACACCCCUUCCUCCUCUGAAACCACAGACGUGGGAGCAGCUGUCGAGCAGGAAAAGUCACAAACACCCAGCGCCCUCAGCGCCAGGAGGGCAAGGGUUUAAUCCUCUUCUCCCUGCAAGAGAGGUCGCGGAGCAACCCCAUGGAUCUUCAUGUCCUUGUCCCAGUCCUGGUCUCCGCGCCCGUGUCUCUGGGGGUCUCCUGCCCUCCCCUCUGCAGACCCUCUAGAGAAGGUGAGGCCUGAGCCAUCCUCUAGGAGAAUCGGGGCAGCUGCCAGGCUCGAGACAAAGGGGGAUGGGGCAGGAGGGGGCCAGGAGUCCAUGCCUGCAGCAGCCUGGCUGCUAAUUCUCUCUAAUUGCUUUAAAGUUGUACUAAUUGAACUGAUUGAAAACAGAGUCUGGGGGUGAGGGGUCUGAAGGAAGGAAAGUGUGUCGCCCAAGAUGUCGGGAGCCCAUCCCCCAGCCCAAGCUGACGCCUCUCAGCUGCCCAGGGCCUCAGCCAGGGCAGCUCUUUGUCUCCUGACCACAGGCCUCCCCUGAGCCCCCUGCCAGCCCUGGAGUCGUGGGCCGAGGGGGGGGAGGGGCCAGACAGAGCCAGGGAGUCUCCGAACAGGACGGGCCGGGCCGCGCUCCCUCCACGCACACAGCCCACGGCAUCAUGCAGCUGCUGCACGCAGCCAGCACCGGCCGCCGGGUGUACCCGACGAAUCCCCCGGACAGGCCUGGGCCCGGGACCAGGGGCCCUGCAGCCCACCCGCCUCACGUUGACGUGGCUGUGA